GAACAUAUAGAUCUUGUGGUAGUCUCUCUCUCUCUCUCUCUCUCUCUCUCUCUCUCUCUCUGUGUGUGUGUGUGUGUGUGAGAGAGAGAGAGAGAGAGAGAGAAACUGGAUUUCUUCCACUUUGUCUUAA